AGUGAACGCUGGCGGCAGGCCUAACACAUGCAAGUCGAACGAAGCCUUCGGGCUUAGUGGCGCACGGGUGCGUAACGCGUGGGAACCUGCCUUUAGGUUCGGAAUAACUCUCCGAAAGGGGUGCUAAUACCGAAUAAUGUCUUCGGACCAAAGAUUUAUCGCCUUUAGAUGGGCCCGCGUUGGAUUAGCUAGUUGGUGGG
rnacentral:rRNA from 1 species